rnacentral:lncRNA from 1 species
GUUUGACCCCCUUCCACUAUUCCCCUUGAUCUCCAAUUUUUAUCACAACCCCUCACUGAUGUUUUUAACCUCCAGUAAAGUUUGCUUGGAUCAUCUCAAUCAUAGAGUGGGGUAAAACCCCAUUUCUACCCCCAAAACCGCGCUCUGAUGCACACUACAGUGCAUGUCCGCACUGUAGCCGGAGCAUCCCGAGGGACCGCAAUGGGAUAUGGGAAGCAUGUCCCCCGACCCAUCCUCGACGUCCACAAUGUUCCAAACGGUCGGGACCCUCCUCCCUCUC